rnacentral:rRNA from 2 species
GGAAGUAAAAGUCGUAACAAGGUUUCCGUAGGUGAACCUGCGGAAG